rnacentral:rRNA from 1 species
GACGAACCGUGCGAACGUUAUUCGGAAUCACUGGGCUUAAAGCGCGUGUAGGCGGGCCGGCACGUCGGUCGCUGAAAGCCCCCGGCUCAACCGGGGAAGCGGCGCCGAUACGACCGGCCUGGAGGGGGGUAGGGGGCGCCGGAACGGCCGGUGGAGCGGUGAAAUGCGUUGAGAUCGGCCGGAACGCCCGUGGCGAAAAGCGGGCGCCUGGACCCCGCCUGACGCUGAGACGCGAAAGCCAGGGG